CACGUAGGCGGAUUUCGUAAGUCAGGGGUGAAAUCCCGGGGCUCAACCUCGGAACUGCCUUUGAUACUGCAAGUCUCGAGUCCGAUAGAGGUGGGUGGAAUUCCUAGUGUAGAGGUGAAAUUCGUAGAUAUUAGGAAGAACACCGGUGGCGAAGGCGGCCCACUGGGAUCGGUACUGACGCUGAGGUGCGAAAGCGUGGGGAGCAAACA
rnacentral:rRNA from 1 species